GACGAACCGUGCGAACGUUGUUCGGAAUCACUGGGCUUAAAGGGCGCGUAGGCGGCUCGCGAGGUCGGGGGUGAAAUCCCACGGCUUAACCGUGGAAGGGCCUCCGAUACCGGCGGGCUGGAGGGAGGUAGGGGUGCGCGGAACUUCUGGUGGAGCGGUGAAAUGCGUUGAUAUCAGAAGGAACGCCGGCGGCGAAAGCGGCGCACUGGACCUCUACUGACGCUGAGGCGCGAAAGCCAGGGGAGCAAACGGG
rnacentral:rRNA from 1 species